UACGUAGGCAGCGAGCGUUGUUCGGAGUUACUGGGCGUAAAGGGUGCGUAGGCGGUUGUUUAAGUUUGGUGUGAAAUCUCCCGGCUCAACUGGGAGGGUGCGCCGAAUACUGAAUGACUAGAGUGCGGGAGAGGAUAGUGGAAUUCCUGGCGUAGCGGUGAAAUGCGUAGAUAUCAGGAGGAACACCGGUGGUGUAGACGGCUAUCUGGACCGUAACUGACGCUGAGGCACGAAAGCGUGGGUAGCAAACAGG
rnacentral:rRNA from 1 species